rnacentral:tRNA from 1 species
GGGGGCAUAGCUCAGUUGGGAGAGCACGAGCUUUGCAAGCUCGGGGUCACCGGUUCAAACCCGGUUGCCUCCACCA